rnacentral:rRNA from 1 species
UUAAUCGGAAUUACUGGGCGUAAAGCGCACGCAGGCGGUUUGUUAAGUCAGAUGUGAAAUCCCCGGGCUCAACCUGGGAACUGCAUUUGAAACUGGCAGGCUUGAGUCUCGUAGAGGGGGGUAGAAUUCCAGGUGUAGCGGUGAAAUGCGUAGAGAUCUGGAGGAAUACCGGUGGCGAAGGCGGCCCCCUGGACGAAGACUGACGCUCAGGUGCGAAAGCGUGGGGAGCAAACAGGAUUAGAUACCCUGGUAGUCCACGCCGUAAACGAUGUCGACUUGGAGGUUGUGCCCU